rnacentral:rRNA from 1 species
GACGAACGCUGGCGGCGUGCCUAAUACAUGCCAGUAGAACGCUGAAGCGAGGAGCUUGCUCUUCUUGGAUGAGUUGCGAACGGGUGAGUAACGCGUAGGUAACCUGCCUUGUAGCGGGGGAUAACUAUUGGAAACGAUAGCUAAUACCGCAUAACAAUGGAUGACACAUGUCAUUUAUUUGAAAGGGGCAAUUGCUCCACUACAAGAUGGACCUGCGUUGUAUUAGCUAGUAGGUGAGGUAAUGGCUCACCUAGGCGACGAUACAUAGCCGACCUGAGAGGGUGAUCGGCCAACCUGGGACUGAGACACGGCCCAGACUCCCACGGGAGGCAGCAGUAGGGAAUCUUCGGCAAUGGGGGCAACCCUGACCGAGCAACGCCGCGUGAGUGAAGAAGGUUUUCGGAUCGUAAAGCUCUGUUGUAAGUCAAGAACGGGUGUGAGAGUGGAAAGUUCACACUGUGACGGUAGCUUACCAGAAAGGGACGGCUAACUACGUG